AACCUAAAAAGCCUUGUAAAAAAAAAACGUAUUAGUGAAGAUAAUGAAUGAGAAAUUAGGGGCUUAGUAAGAAUAACAAAGGAAUUUCCAGUUUAGGCAUCCUAGACGUGAGGGCUAAAUAAUUCUAGAAUAGCAGUCUUCAUACUGGAGUACACACACCUCCAAGUAGUAUACAAAAACUUUUGAGGGAGUUCUGGGCGCUAAUAGUAUUAAGAGAGCCAAUUUCUCUAAUGUUCUCUUUCUUAAAAUUGAACUGCCUCUGUUUUCAAUCACUCUUCUCCCACUUCAUAGAAAGAACACAUACCUGUCAUUCAUCCCAGAUCUUUCCACGCUACAAUGCUCAGGGGUAUAAAAAUAUAAGGGUUCUAAACUAAGGGACAAAAGGGGCUUUUCCAUAAGAACCAAAGAGCAAAAAGAAAGAGCAUCUAGGUAAAAUUCAAUGAAGGGGGCUGAUCUUGUUUCAGUCACACCACAAACACAAGUAUGGCUCUGUGACUUAACUCUGUUUCUGUCUAAUAAUGAGAACUAAAAAAUAUGAUAGAUCAUUGUGAUAAGGACAUAUUCAACAACUUUAUCUGAAUUUAAAAACAAAGUCAGACUUUUUCUGACAGAAAAUUUAGUCUAUCUUGGUCCACUGGCUUUACAAUGCAGACUGGCUUUUGCCAGUUAGGCUGUUUGGUAGACAUUCAUGCAAACUAAGUAGCGUUAACCUGCGAAUCUAAAAUUUUGACAAAUAUAUGCUUGAAAUAAGCACACAAUAAAUUAUAUGCCAGAAAUUACCUUCUCUGCAACUACUUAAAUAAGCAUUUUUAGGUAUCAGUUUAAAAAUGUAUGAGGGGGCACAGAUUUUCAAAACUGUUUUAGGAGGUCUACAUGUAAAAAACUUUAAAGUCACUGCUACAUGUUAAUUAGAAGCUGUGGAAACCUUUUCUACAGUCAUUUUACCAGACUUUCCCAGGUAGUCUGAAUGUGGCCCUUCCCUGAGGCAGAAGGAUGGAAUUAAACCAGUUUCCAUAGUUCUUUCCUAGCCCUAGAAUUCAUAGAAAGCCAACAGGAUAAGAAGUAAGAAAAGGAAUUUAUUGCUCACUUGAAAAAAGCAAAGCUCUGGGACAAGCACCAUGGUGGUGUACAAAAGAUGAAUACAUGGUUCCUCUACCCUCAAAGGUUUUGGGGCAGGGUGCAGUGGCUCAUGCCUGUAUCUCUCAGCACUUUGGGAGGCCAAGGCAGGAGACCACUUGAGCCCAGGAAUUUGAGACCAGCCUGGGCAACAUAGCAAGACUCUGUCUCUACAAAAAAUAGAAAAAUAAUAAAGGAUUUGGAAUUCAGCAGGGGGAAUAAGACACAAACACAAAGAACUAACAAAAAGGCUGCAUGGCAGAAAUGCUGAAAAAGAGUUAGCAUUAACCAGGAAAGCACAUCAUAUGUCUAAGAAAUAAAAAGCAAAUAUAAUAGACAUAGAACAUUGACUUUUUUUUUUUCCCUGAGACAGUUUCACUCUGUUGCCCAGGCUGGAGUGCAGUGGCGUGAUCUCGACUCACUGCAACCUCCGCCUCCAGGGUUCAAGCACUUCUCGGGCCUCAGCCUCCCAAGUAGCUGGGAUUACAGAUGUGCACCACUACGCCUGGCUAAUUUUUGUACUUUUUGGUAGAGUCAAGGUUUCGGCAUGUUGGCCAGACUAGUCUCUGACUCCUAGACUUCAUAUGAUCCACCCGCCUCAGCCUCCCAAAGUGCUGGGAUUACAGGCGUUAAGCCACUGCGCACAGCUGGGCAUUCAACAUUAUUGUAAAACUAUUUCCAAGUGACCCUGAGGGUCCAGGAUACUGGACCUUGGAUAUGAGUCAGUGAUUUCUCUGGCCUAUAACUUAGUCAUGUACUUUGAAGUUAGAAAUGGCAGGGAAAGGCACUUAGCCAUUGAGAGAACCACAGUGAUCCCCCAGCAUCUAAACCUUGGAACCAUGUACACAUUAAGGCUCUAGACAUUAUCUUCACAAAGAAUGGCUCCCAAGAUAAAGUUAACUACUAGUGCUGUUAAUGAAAGUGAGCAGAAAGAGGGGCAUUAAAAAAGUAAUGGUUCUCACCAGAAAACAGACAUUUUAUGAAGGUAAAUACUCAAAAGUUCAAGAUUUAAAAGUCUCAAGAUUUAUCCCUCAAGAAUGUCAAGGAUCUAGUAAGCUUGAAGAGAGGAAAUGGAGUAAAAGGGCUUCAAUGCCAUGACAAGAAAAUGGGAUUUUAAUCCACAGGCCACAAGAAACUAAUAAAAGACCAAAAGAGCUAGAUUGCUAGUGGAGAGAUGAGUGCCACUGCCUGUGUAAGGUAAAGCCUGAAAGUGAAUACGGGCAUAGAAAUGGACAGGAAGGUGACUGACCAGUGGAAAAGACUAAAAAGAACUUAGUGGCCAACCGAUGGUGGGAAAACAGAAGAGGUGGAAAAGGACCGAGUUUGAGCCCUGUGUUGCCAAGGUGGUGAGGCCAUCAAUAGAAACAGGGAAACUGGCUGGUCUGAAGGUAGUGAGUUAUCUCAGUUGAUUGUUCAGUCAGUUACAGAUUAAACUCCUUGUUCUAUUCUUUCCUCCCUUUUCACUACUGCACUUGACUAGUCGAAUUAAAAAAAAAGAAAGAAAGAAACAAGGAAAUUGAGAAAAGGACAAGGAGUAGAUACCGGAGCCUGACUAUUGUUUUACAAGAAAACUAUCAGAACAUGGAAUUGCUGCUCCUAACAUCAAAGCAAAGUUCAAAAAGUCCAAAAACACAACAGCUAACACCAGGGCUAAAAAUGAAAGAAUACUCACCUCGGUAUGAACUCAGUACCACCUGCUGAGCAAGGUCCCAAACCUUGAUGCUAAGAAGCAAAAGCAAACAGACAUUUAAUCUUGACCUACACUAUCAACAUAAAAACGUGUUCAAACAAGAACUUCCUGUAAUCAACAUUCCCCAAGUCUUUGCCUCUUGGACUGCUGCUAUGGUCUACUUACGAUGGACUGCAAAAUCCCUAAGGAAACCUUAUAGACAUGCUAAAAUAAGUCACUGGAUUCUUAGAAUAAGCCCAAAAUGUUACCUAAUGAGGUUAACAGGAUAGGAAAGGCACCCACAGGAGGCUUAGAGACAGGAGCAAUGAGAACAGGGACCCACCAGAUGUCUUUGCUACCACUGACAGCUUGUGUGCCAGAGCUCAAGACACUGACUGUAGACACAAUGUCAUCAUGCUCAUACUUGCAGAACUUGCUGACAAUAAGUGUCUCAUUCUCAUCUAGUUCCCACAAUUCAACAGCACCUGUUGGGGGUAGGGUAAGGAAAACAUGAGCUUGGAUUAUACCAAGGCAGUAAUUCACUUCUAGGAUUCAAAGAGCCAUUGUCACUAAAUUAACAAAGUAAGUUAGUUAUUCCUGUAAAAGCAAAGUCCACAUCAUUGGAGAGUUCAGCUAAUUUCUGAGUCUUUGACUUUAUUCUGCGUUACUGUUUUCCUAAUGACAGCCCAGACAAGUAGGUGCAGAAAGCUUCCAGAAAAAGACAAAGAUGGAACAGUCUGUAAAAUUCAUUAUCUGCUUUUAGUGAGAGAAUAUGGAAAAUGAGCUGCAAGGGGACAAGGAUGAAGUUUCCACAACUGUUUAAGCAGCACACUAUCCAGUGAUGUUAACACUUCCCCAAUAUUUGGACACUAGUAAGUAUUUGCUGAACUAGUUGAAUAAAUGUCUUGCAGAGUCUUUAAAAAUAUGUUGAAUAAUUGAACGUCUUGCACAGUGACUGGUUAAGUAUAGAGAAUCCGCCAAAAGUUGUCUUGAUUAUGUAGUGUUCAAGCUCAACUGUCAGAGAGGUUAAAUCUAUCAAAAACUGGGACUUUAAACUUCCAUGCAAUGCCGGCCAACUUCCAAAUUCUGAUUUUAAAAAAAAAAAAAGCCAAAGCCUGCAUCGCUAAGCCUAACAGUCAACAAAAAGAAAGCAGAAUGAAGACAAGAAAGCGGUAAGAAAUGGGAAGAGACAUGUAGCACAGAUUGGCUUCAAUGUCAUCUUAAAAUCAAGAUUAUGCUUGGUCUGGGCUGUGGGGGUUAAGGGGCAGGUUACACAGAAGAAAAAUGGUUCCAAUCCGUUGCUUAAUUUUGUUACGGAUUUUUCUAGGAAAUCUCACCAGACAAUUUAGAAUUUUAGAAAAGGUAUUUCCCACCUACACAAGAGUUUGCAUUCGGGGCCAACACUCUCAGGCUCCUCCAAGCACUGAGUAUAGGACGUUAGAUAUUGAGCUCAACCCUACGGUACCCCAAGUCUCCAUUCUACCGUUCCACCCGGGGGUGGGGGUGGAUAAUGGGAUAGUGACUCACCUGAAUCGGAGGCCACUAGAAUACCUCUCUCCC
rnacentral:lncRNA from 10 species